CGGCCGCCGAGAAGUUAACUGCCUCUGUAGCGCCAUAGCGCAUGCGCCGCCCGCCCCGGGCUCCACCCCCCACCCUCUGCCAGGAUGGCCCCUCCCCGGCUUCCGUAGCGAGCAGCUUCCCGGAGGAGGAGCAGGAUGGACGUUCUGCGGCCCACCCUGAUAAGGAUUGAGGGGCGGGUGUAUAGGAAGAAUGCCAUUCAAGAGCAGGCCUACCAGCAUGAAGAGGAGGAUGAUUUCUGUGCAGGCCCUGGUGACUGUGCAGAUGAGCCCUGUGAUGCCUUUGUGGUGGAAGAGACUGAGAAAGGCUUCCAGUGCAGACUGGAGGUUCCCAGCCUGUUAUACAAGUACAUCAUCGGGAAGAAAGGGGAAACCAAGAAAAGACUAGAAGCAGAGACUCGAACCUCCAUCAGCAUUCCCAAGCUUGGAGUGGAAGGAGAAAUUGUGAUUACUGGGCAGCAUCGCAGUGGUGUCAUCUCUGCCCGAACGCGGAUUGAUGUUCUCCUGGACAGCUUCCGUAAGAAGCAGCCCUUCACACACUUCCUGUCUUUGGCUCUCAACCAGCCCACCAUCCAGGAGAAGUUCCUGCAGUUCAAGGAAGAGGUGUUGGAGAAAUGCUCAAAGGAUCACGGGGUCAGCAGCAGCCUGUUCCAGAACCCUUCUAAGCUUCACCUGACUCUUGGGACGCUGGUACUUCUGAAUGAACAAGAGAUCCAGAAAGCAUGUGACCUCCUACAGCAAUGCAAAGAGGACUUUGUGGACCAAAUUGCUGGAGGCAAGCCCUUGACUGUGGAAGUGGUAGGAGUGGAGUACAUGAACGAUGACCCUGCCAUGACAGACGUCCUUUAUGCCAAAGUCCACAUGAAGGAUGGCUCGGACAGAUUGCAGGUGAUUGCUGAUCAACUGGUGGAGCGGUUUGUGGCCUCCGGCUUGAUGCUUAAAGAGUGGGAUAGGGUGAAACUGCAUGCUACAGUCAUGAACACUCUCUUCAGGAAAGAUCCAAGUGCUGAAGAGCGAAACAAUACAAUGACUGGUAAAUCAUCUUUCAAGGAGCGAGAGUCAUUUAAUGGCCGAAAUAUCCUCAAGCGGGUACUUGGGAUUUUGUUUGCUUCGCUUCUCUGAAGGGGAUAACAACAGCAUAGCAUGCUGAUUUCCCAUGGAAAAGGACUGUCCAUCCCUCCCAGCUUUCUGAGUUUGUUCGUUCAUUCACCACUGCUCCUGAUCAAGACAUGCCAGGGGUAGCAGAUGCUGCUGGGUGAGUUGGUGACUGUUGUAACUGUGUGCAGAGCAGGCAAAGCUGUAAAGCCUGCAGCUCCUCCGAAGCUUGAGUUUAAUCUCGUUUGAGCUCUUUCGGUUCUGCUCUCUGCUGCUGGACCCUGAUUCCUGGUGCGAUCUUGCAGAGCCACAGUGCUGGGUUGCGUGUCAGAAGUGAUCCUCCUGCACAUGUUCUGCCACGGACGCAGAGACAAGUGGUGAUCAGCCUGUUUGUAGGACUUCCUGGAGGGGAUCUUUUGGUGGAUAAACACCUUCAACCCAGGUGAAACAGAGGAGAAGGGAUUGCUGGUGUCCCAUGCUCAGUGUAGACUGUGCAGCAGGAAUGACAGUGAGCUCGGCUGCAGCCAUAGGUUCCUGGAGCUACUGGAUUAAUCAGCAGAGACAUGCCUCCAGGUCCCUGAGUUGGCUUGCUUUCAUUAAUUUGCACUCAGGUCUUUGCUGAACAAAGAAGGAUUUGUUGAACAAAGUGGGGUCAGUACUGGGAUGAAGAACCUUGCACCUCUAGCCUGCUAGCUUGAGUUAGAACUGAGCCAUAACUGUUAAGUCGUACGUCCUGUGGCUUUGUAAAAACACCCUGGCCUCAAUCCCUGCUCCUGUGGAGCCUACAACCUGAAGAGACACCUGGGAGUGAUGGCCUUCAGGCUGGUCAGUAGCUUCCCCAAGCUCCCUAAAUGAGGCACAGUCAGAAAGCAAGCUCUUCGAGAACUUCUACUUUGGAGAGGUGCAGCUGGACUCAGUGCGACUUUCCCAGAGGUUCUCCUCAGAUGCCUCUGGCUACUAUGCAACAUCUGGGCAGCUGAUGUUCUGAAGCGGCAAUGUGGUUACUGCAGCAGGUUCACUCUGUGCAGAGGCACAUGUUCUUCAGUGAAAUGUUUUUAUGGGACACAAAUUUUGGAUAGGAACCUGGGAACUCCGUUAGGAAUGCCUCGUCACUCCUUGAAAGCACACUGCAGCUGGGGACCAUGGCAUUCCCCCGGAGCUUUUCCUACACAUACUGCUUGCGCUCCCUUGCAGGGGAACAGGGAUCCUUCCACCUCCUUUCCCCAUUGGUAGUGGAAAUGUUGCAAAGGUGCCCAUGUGAUGUCUGUGGCCUGUUCGUUUUCCAAGAAAACAACUAGAAAAACUGGUGCAGGUGGCUUUUGGGGCAUCACUGGUGUUUAAGCAUAGCUUUCUUUCAGAAGAAGGGAGUUUGUUCUUGAAAUAAGUAUUUAAAAUCCAAGAUUGAUCCCUGGAGCAUGAUUUAAGGAUAUUGAGGUCAAGCAUUGCUUGGAUCUCCAGCAGUGUGCCUGUGUGAUGUAGAUCUCCAAAUAAAGUAAUUCCCUUCAAAAGCAAA